AACGAACGCUGGCGGCAUGCCUAACACAUGCAAGUCAAACGGGAUCUUCGGGUCUAGUGGCGCACGGGUGCGUAACGCGUGGGAAUCUGCCCUUUGGUUCGGAAUAACAGUUGGAAACGACUGCUAAUACCGGAUGAUGACGAAAGUCCAAAGAUUUAUCGCCAGAGGAUGAGCCCGCGUAGGAUUAGCUAGUUGGUGUGGUAAAGGCGCACCAAGGCGACGAUCCUUAGCUGGUCUGAGAGGAUGAUCAGCCACACUGGGACUGAGACACGGCCCAGACUCCUACGGGAGGCAGCAGUGGGGAAUAUUGGACAAUGGGCGAAAGCCUGAUCCAGCAAUGCCGCGUGAGUGAUGAAGGCCUUAGGGUUGUAAAGCUCUUUUACCCGGGAUGAUAAUGACAGUACCGGGAGAAUAAGCUUCGGCUAACUCCGUGCCAGCCGCCGCGGUAAUAC
rnacentral:rRNA from 1 species